UUUCUCUUCUCAAUCCACUCAAGCAUUUCUCCUUCUCGUUUUGGGGGGCAAUUUUAGCGGCCUCUGAGCAGCAGAUGAUCUGGAAAUGGAAUUCCCAAACAUACAUUAAUUUGCUCAAGAUUCAAAGAGCAGAAUUUAGGUCCUGAUUGGUUUGACCUAAAGGCACCUCUGAAACCACACUGUGGAACAUACCACGGGGAGGGAAGUGGAGGAACAUAAAACCGGAGGCGGCACAGCCAGAUAAGAAGGGCUGCAGCCCCCGGGCAGGAUGGCUGGGUCCUAUGUCAGCGCAGCGAAUGGGGAGCGAAUGAAUGUGGAGACGCGGAAUGUGCACCACAGGAAAGGAGGUUGAGAUGGUGCCGAGGUCUGCGCUUGGGAAACCGUGUGAUGUGUUCUGGGAGAGGGAAAAGACCAGAAAGAGCAUCGGGACAAGAAAAGAGAAGAAAAAAAAAACUGACAGGAAAAAUACGGAGGAUUUCCUUGCUGUGAGUUAGGAACGUGAACCCUACAUCAGUCCCACCAUCCUCUUGAACUUCUCAAUGGGAGACUUGUAAGGAUGCGAACACCACCUCAAAACUACAAGAGCCAAGCGACUCUGAAUGUCCUCAACAAAUUCUCCCUUUCACUGGAGAUGUAGAUCUAGGGAUGAAAGGCUGUAAACUUUUCUGGUUCACAGAGCAAACGUUCAAGAAUAAACACAGAUUUCUCGAUUUAGUCUAGACCCUUUAUCAGCUAAGAACAAUAUUUGGAGCAUGCUGCCUAGGAUUAAACACUGACUCUGGUUUUUACUAGCUGUGGGAACUUAGACAAAUUACCUAAGCUCUCUGUGCCUCUGUGAGCUUAUUUAUAAUAAUGGACAUAAUAUAAUGGGAGUAAAACAAAGAUUUAGAUGACAGAGAAAUUCUACCACUCACAGAUUCUCAGUGAAAGAACUACUCAAAGGUUUGCCUCAGGAAAAAAAACAAACAAAAAAACUAAAUCCAGAGAAGAGGAGACGAUUAAAAAAAAAAAAAAAUGGCAUUGACUGUGGAACUCCUAAUGGUAAAAAAGAAUGCAAAAUCUCCCCCAGCACUGAUGGCUUCUUCCUCAUUUGGUCUGUCUCUAUAAGGUCUCACUGAAUUAUAUAAUCUCUAUGCUUACUAACUUGACAUAGCAAAUGCAGUACAAGUUUCUUUGUGGCUCAAGAGAAAUAAGCUAUAAAUUUAUGAGCUGGAUCAAUAUGUUAUCCAUGUCAUUCACUAAGAGUGGGAGUGGCUGGAGAAGGUGCUGGGGAGGGAAGGAGGGAGAGGUGAGCAGGCACAAGCCCUAUGUGUUAUGCACUGUUUAGGUGCUGAAGAUAGUCCAUGAAUAAAACCAACCAAAGUUCCUCCCUU